rnacentral:rRNA from 1 species
UAGGGAAUCUUCCGCAAUGGGCGAAAGCCUGACGGAGCAACGCCGCGUGAGUGAUGAAGGUCUUCGGAUCGUAAAACUCUGUUAUUAGGGAAGAACAAAUGUGUAAGUAACUAUGCACGUCUUGACGGUACCUAAUCAGAAAGCCACGGCUAACUACGUGCCAGCAGCCGCGGUAAUACGUAGGUGGCAAGCGUUAUCCGGAAUUAUUGGGCGUAAAGAGGGCGUAGGCGGUUUUUUAAGUCUGAUGUGAAAGCCCACGGCUCAACCGUGGAGGGUCAUUGGAAACUGGAAAACUUGAGUGCAGAAGAGGAGAGUGGAAUUCCAUGUGUAGCGGUGAAAUGCGCAGAGAUAUGGAGGAACACCAGUGGCGAAGGCGACUUUCUGGUCUGUAACUGACGCUGAUGUGCGAAAGCGUGGGGAUCAAACAGG